GGACCAAGUGCAAAAAUCCAACUGGUGUAAGCCGUAUAAUAUUCUUCGCAUCAUCAAGAAUAUUAUACGGCUUAAACUGAUGAGAUUUUCGCACUUGGGCCAGCGCUAGCGCUGGACAAAAAAUUUACUCAAUUUUGAGUUGUCCCACUUUAGCUCAGUUUUGUGUGAAUUUCCUGACCGUGUACACUUAAAUCCUUUACACACGAUUUCGACGUAUUUUUGUUCGAGCUUAAAUGUCUGUUCUCUGUGGUUGAAUUAUUUAACCUGUGAAAGAGUUGUACAGCUUUUUUGAGAUAUGAUCAUUUGGUAAAUAAACGCCUGUUGACCUUUUUAAUUAUGAAUGUUCAUGUCACAUAAUUAUGAAGAAUUCUCAGUCAUACUUCAGUGGGCUGGUCUUUUAUGGGGAAUGUUGAAGACAACUAAUUAUGGAAAUAAGGGUUUAUAGGUUACCAGGUUAUGUAAAAUAUCCUUAUUAAUGAGAUUUAACAUACAAGAUGUAAGCUGUGGAGCAUGACUGGGAAAUUGUAAUGCUUUGAUUUAUGGAGAAAGCCAGUAUAUCAAGAAAGCUGGCACAAUCACUAACAAUUAUCUCAAAACACAAGCAUGCGAUCAUGAAACAAUGUAUGUAGGGCUUUUAGGUUGUAAUUUUAUCUAAAAGUAAUCCUAAUAAUCGAAGUAUCCCAUUUGCAAACAUAAAAUAUGACAGUGCUAUGAAGACAACAUCGCCACAUUGUUGAUGCAAAUUAUAAUCUCGUAAUGGAGAGGUCCGUUUACUGCUCUCUAGUGACCAAACUAUUUAAGCCAGGUUAGAACAAUGUUCAGCAAAGUUUUAGAAAAAAGACAUGCGAAGAAAACCUCCAUACAUUGUUUUUUGAUACAAUGCCUGUGAAACGAAUUAACUGCAAGUGAAUGAUUCGUUGUUUAAGCUAUUGGCCCCAUCUUUCGUAACAUUCACAAAAAAAAAAAAUCAAAAAAAAUUUUACUCUAGGCUUCCCGACAGAUUUUUUCGACUUUACUCUUAAAUUGAUGAAGAAUAUCUGUACUUUCUUAUGGCAAAAAUUCAGACUUACUUAUUUUUUUGUUUUAAAGUUGCUCUAUAAACACAUCGUGAAUAAGUUGAAAAUUUUAAAACGGCUUCAUAUUCUCCGAUGUUUUGUGGUUAUUUGCUUCUUUGACAUCAAUGCUGUAGGAAUGGAUUAAGGUGAUACGGGACGCUGUGUUAUUUUUCCUAUCUUCCCUCUCUUUCUAACAAUUUGCCUCGCGAUUUUGAAGAUGGUAAUCUCGAUUUCUAUCGCACUGAAGAGGCUGAAAA